rnacentral:rRNA from 1 species
ACGAGACCUCAGGUCAGGCGGGGCUACCCGCUGAGUUUAAGCAUAUCAAUAAGCGGAGGA